CCGGCACCACCGACACUACUCUGAUGUUGACCCGCAUAGAUGCAGGAGGGCAGCUCAGUGAUAAGAUCAUCGUCAAAGUUAUGAGAUUUCUCAAGAUUUCCGAUAUAUUCACAACUUCUCACCUUAUGGGGGGCGAUGAGGACGAAUCUGUUUAAAUGUAUAAUGAGAACAUCUCAUGGGAAUUCUGCGUCUUUUAUAGCACCGCCGGUCCAAUUGGAAAUACCACAGUC